AUAGAGUAGUUGCCCUGGGCCCUUGUAUGGGCCCGUCCGGGCACAUCUACCACCCUUUGUUUACCACACCAUUGUUGCUUUGGCAGGCCUGUCUCUAGACUGCUGGCUCCGGCUGGCGAGCGCCUGCCGAGGGACCCAAACUCUGUUUGUCUAUACUGUCUGAGUACUAUAUAAUAGUUA
rnacentral:misc_RNA from 1 species